GCAAAGUGUCACACGGAGAAAGCCCAGACUACCGACAGUUGGGAAUCAGGAUCUACCUGGAGCCUCCCUGGGUGGCCCGGGACUUCGGGGCCAUGGAACUCCGGGUUAUGGGAACCACCGCUCCCUCGCAUUUGGCCAGCGCGGAAAGCGGGAUGGGGACGUUUAAGAAACUCAAUGUCACACGCCACGCUUUCAAGGUGCACAUGACGGCUGCAGACACUCAGGCCCUUAAAAGGAACAUUUAAACUUGGGAGGAGUACAGAUAGAACCCAGAGGCACACCAGUUAGUGUGAACAACACGCGCGGGGACUUUGCGGGAGAGCUCACAAUUCCGGAGUGUACAGGGGCCGGGAGGUGGCUCCGCCCCGCCUCACUCCAGUCAAACUUCACGGUCUCUGCCGGGUGUAAGGGCAUCUUUGCGCUCCCAGGGCUCUACUCGCGCGUCGCCUGUACAAACCCUCUGCUGUGUGGCUUUGUAUCUUUAGGUAAGGGACAUCUUUUGUCUCUCCGCAAGAAGCUUUCCUCGGGGGAAGAUAAAGUAAUCGAUAGGGUCUUUUUAAAUAGCUCCGAGUUUCCUGUCGGGCCAGGAGUAUCAGCGCGCACACCAAAUCUGCUCUGCUUCCUAGGAGGCCUGGCUGCCCUACCUGGCUUGUGCAAACUCCCACUCACCUCACCUGCAGACCCACUGUGCAGUAGCUGUGGCUGGGAAUGCUCUUCCUGGGACGACCUUGCGACUUGCUCCAGUCAACAGAAUGUGACUCAAGUGAUCCCGAGGGAUCUUCAGUACUCUGCUCUCUGGAGGUCUUGGACUCCAAGCCCUGUCCAUUUAACUUGAGAUCUUGCUGCAGUAGUUUAAAAUUAUGAGAGGACAAGAGACCAGGUGGAGGAGAACUGUGGCCUCAGCCAUUACCAGCAUGAGUGACAACAUCCUGAAUUUUCCUGAACCAGUUGAUUAGCAAGUUCAAGUUUCUCAACUGAGAUACUACUGACAUUUAGGACCAGAUGAUUUCUUUGUUGUGGUGGUGAUAGGGGCAGGGAGCUACAUGUCAUGCACCACACAUGGCUUCUACCUAGUAGAAACCAGCCAUAACCAUCACCAUUGUCUUUGGGCAUUCCAAGCAUCCUGGGUCAUUGGGCCAGGAUCACCCUGGUUGAGAACCAACCAGUGCUCUGGCUGAAGGCAGCAGCUGAGUGCAAGGGUUCUAGAAACCACCCGAGGAACCGUGCAUCCAUCCAACCUCAAACUGUAAUAAGUUCCUAGGUUUUGGGAUAACUGAGAGCUGUUAAUUAGUUUCUCUGAUAUUUUUCCUUUCAUGUGUUAAUAUUAGAUGAUGACUUUUAAAAGCUGAAUUCUGAAAGGUCCCAGAAUCCAAAACCGUUUGAGUAUCAUGCUCAGAUUUCUGCAUUCGGAGUGCUCAUCAAGUAAAACCUGUGCAGGUAUCCUACAGAAUACAAACAACAACAAAACAAAGCAAUAGUCCACCCCACCCCUGAAAUCUGAUAAACUUCUGGGCCCAAGAAUUACCGCAAAGAGGACUUAACCUUGGUUGCUUUUGCAAGGUGCUUGUGACUCUAUUCUAUGGUCACCUUUGUCCUUUGACCUCGGGGUGGAGUCACUCAUCAGAAAGCUAUUAAAAAAAGCCUAUGUAUCCACCACAAAACAAAACAAAAUGAGACACCCUAAAGCCCAAACAACAACAACCAAAAUAAAGAUCAAACCUCUUUUA